GUUUGAGUGAUGACUUUGUAUUGUCGGAUACCCCUUCACUCCGCCGAUGAGUGAAAUUUUACAGUCUGACAAAC